AGGAAUGGUGGAAAGAAGAGGAGCACUGGACUGUUGAGCUCCCUUGAGAAAAUCAGGAUCCCUGGCUCGUUUCUAGCAAUCACUUGGUGAUCUCCAGACACUCCACAAAUGAGGGUUGGCACAAAUGCUGACUUGGACCACACUGUUGGGACCCUGUUGUUGUCUGUGAAGGCUGUGCCAAGGUCUCCUUCUCCAUACUUGAGAUGAAGCUGGAAUCUUCUCCCACCACCCAAGAGUGAUUGUGAAUCAUUCUUGCUGCUGAAUACACACAGCAACAGCCUGAUCCUGCCAAAUGAGAGGUGUGUGGGUAACUUUGUACAUAAACACUCCCAUCGAGGUGGC